CGGACGGGUGAGUAACACGUAGAGAACCUACCUUACACAGGGGGACAACGGCUGGAAACGGCUGCUAAUACCGCAUAAGCACCCAGUUUCGCAUGAAACAGAGUGAAAAGAGUAAAUCGGUGUAAGAUGGCUCUGCGUCUGAUUAGCUAGUUGGUGGGGUAAAGGCUCACCAAGGCGACGAUCAGUAGCCGGCCUGAGAGGGCGGCCGGCCACAUUGGGACUGAGACACGGCCCAGACUCCUACGGAAGGCAGCAG
rnacentral:rRNA from 1 species